GCCUUCGUGGUGUAGUGGUCAGCACGCUGGGCGCGUAUUCCAGAGGCCCGUGGUUCGAGUCCCGGCGAAGGCG
rnacentral:tRNA from 1 species